rnacentral:rRNA from 1 species
CCCUUCGAUGUCCUGGGCUGCACGCGCGCUACACUGGAAGUUACGGAUUGAGAUACUACCUUGUCCGAAAUGGUCCGGGUAAUCACCUAAAAGCUUGUCAUAAUUGGAAUGGAUUAUUGUAACUAGUAAUCCUGAACGAGGAAUUCCUAGUAAGUCCCAGUCAACAGCUGGUACUGAUUACGUCCCUGCCCUUUGUACACACCGCCCGUCGCUACUACUGAUUGGACGUUUAAGCAAGAUUUUUAAACACUGACAGUGUGUAGUUCACGCUAUACUACAGUGAGAAGAAGAAGAUCGAGCUUACUUGUCUAGAGGAAGUAAAAGUCGUAACA